rnacentral:rRNA from 1 species
GGGUAACCUGCCCUAUGCUGGAUAAUAACCUCGGGAAACUGAGAAUAAUGAUCCAUAGUUCACUACGCCUGGAACGGUGAGUGGAUGAAAGCUCCGGCGGCAUAGGAUGGGCCUGCGGCGUAUCAGGUUGUAGGGGGUGUAACGUACCCUCUAGCCCUCUACGCGUACGGGUGUUGGGAGACAUAGCCCGGAGAUGGAUUCUGAGACACGAAUCCAGACCCUACGGGGUGCAGCAGGCGCGAAAACUUGGCAAUGCGAGAAAUCGUGACCAGGGAACUCCAAGUGCAUCGGGUAAGACCGGUGCUUUUCUUGACUCUAAAUAGGUCUUGGAAUAAGGGGUGGGUAAGGACGGUGCCAGCUGCCGCGGUAAUACCGGCGCCUCAAGUGGUAGUCGCUUUUAUUGGGCCUAAAACGUCCGUAGCCGGUCUGAUACAUUCGUGGGUAAAUCAACCAGCUCAACUGGUUGAAUUCUGCGAGGACGGUCAGACUUGGGACCGGGAGAGGUGUGGGGUACGCUCAGGGUAGGGGUAAAAUCCUGUCAUCCUGAGCGGACCACCUGUUGCGAAGGCGCCACACUAGAACGGAUCCGACGGUCAGGGACGAAGCCUAGGGGCACGAACCGGAUUAGAUACCCGGGUAGUCCUAGGUGUAAACGCUGUGGACUUGAUGUUGGGGGUGCUCCGAGCACUCUCAGUGUCGAAGCGAAGGUGAUAAGUCCACUGCCUGGGAAGUACGGUCGCAAGGCUGAAACUU